rnacentral:rRNA from 1 species
UACGGAGGAUGCAAGCGUUAUCCGGAUUUAUUGGGUUUAAAGGGUGCGUAGGCGGGAUAAUAAGUCAGUGGUGAAAGCCUGCAGCUUAACUGCAGAACUGCCAUUGAUACUGUUAUUCUUGAGUACAUUUGAUGUGGGCGGAAUGUGUAAUGUAGCGGUGAAAUGCUUAGAUAUUACACAGAACACCGAUUGCGUAGGCAGCUCACAAAACUGUUACUGACGCUGAGGCACGAAAGCGUGGGGAGCAAACAGG